AGCAGCAGCGGAGAGCGAGAUCCGCGGCCGGAGAAGCCAGGGCACGGAGCGCAACACGGCAGGCGGGCAGAGUUACUCUUCCCCCGCACGGGCCGGGCCGAGGAGGAGGAGGAUUGGAUCCACCGUGCGGUGAUCCCGUGGUUCCCCGAGGACGACGCGCACCGCAGGAGGGCGGGGUCGUAAAGGCUUCCCUGUCUAGCUCACGCAGGGCCGGACUGGACUGCUUUGUCCCCUGAGGCCCAGCACAGACUUAUUUAGGAGUUCAUUUUGGGCAUCAUCAUCCGCAAGCUUUCGGAACAAAUUCCUUUUUAAUUUGCGUUUGUGGUUGCACUGCCUGCCUUGUUUUAGAACCUUUUUGAUAGUAAUAUUUUAACCUUUGUAUCUUUUUACUAGUUUUAUCUGUGAACCAGUCUUAAACUUUGGCACUGUAGAUUUUAAUUUUUCCUAGAGGUCCCUCUCGUGUUGUCACAUUUUAACAUCCACGAAUCAGCAGAGAAGAUCUCCGCUAUUUUAA